rnacentral:rRNA from 1 species
AUGUCAAAGUUUUGGUGGGAUGAAUCUCUAGACAAGAGAAGAAUGCAUUGGCAAUCGUGGGAAAAGAUGGCCGUCUCAAAAUCCAAGGGAGGUCUGGGAUUUCGGGAUUUGCAGCUUUUCAAUGAUGCAAUGCUCGCCAAGCAGGCGUGGUGGCUGCUGGAUAAGCCAGACAGUCUAUGCGCGCGUGUCCUAAAGGGACGGUAUUACCCAGAAGGAGAUUUUUUGCAAGCAGGAUGCCCUGCUAGUGCCUCUACUACGUGGAAAGCCAUAAUCAUCAGGAGAGAAGUGCUGAAGAAGGGUUUAAUCCGUAGAGUUGGUGAUGGCAUGACUACGGAGGUAUGACAUGAUAACUGGAUACAAGGAAGCAAAACUUUCAAACCAGUAUGCAAUAUUGGAAGUGAACCCAUCCACCUCGUGUCUGAUUUGAUGACGGAUGAUAGUGAGUGGGAUGAGGAAGUUAUACACAGAACUUUUAUCGGCCCGGAUGCGCUGGCGAUUCUCAAUAUGCCAAGACCGCGGGUUGCUAUACCUGAUUCUUGGGCAUGGGGCCAUGAGAGAUCUGUGAUUUUCACGGUUCGAUCGGCGUACAGAAUGCUUAUGGAGGAUCGUGAGAACGACCUGAACCGGGUUGGCAGUUCGUCCCAAGGGGAGGAGAUUUGGAAAGCACUAUGGUGUGUCAAGGUACAACCAAAGAUACGGAUCUUUUGA